rnacentral:rRNA from 1 species
CCCUUAGAUGUUCUGGGCCGCACGCGCGCUACACUGAUUCAUGCAACAAGUUUUGUCCUUGGCUGAUAGGCCUGGGUAAUCUUUGAACGUGAAUCGUGAUGGGGAUAGAUGAUUGCAAUUAUUCAUCUUCAACGAGGAAUUCCUAGUAAACGCAAGUCAUCAGCUUGCAUUGAUUACGUCCCCGCCCUUUGUACACACCGCCCGUCGCACCUACCGAUUGAAUGGUCCGGUGAAAUCUCGGGACGGCGGCUUGGUCGCUUGCGUCCGACUGCUGAAACUUGAUUAAACCAUAUCAUUUAGAGGAAGGUGAAGUCGUAACA